UACGUAGGGCGCGAGCGUUUGUCCGGAUUAUUGGGCGUAAGAGCUCGUAGGCGGCUUGUCGCGUCGAAUGUGAAAUCUCAGGCUCAACUCUGACAUUGCAUUCGAUACGGGCAGGCUCGAGUUCGGUAGGGAGACUGGAUUCCUGGUGUAGCGGUGAAAUGCGCAGAUAUCAGGAGGAACACCGGUGGCGAAGGCGGGUCGC
rnacentral:rRNA from 1 species